rnacentral:rRNA from 1 species
UACGAAGGGAGCUAGCGUUGUUCGGAAUUAUUGGGCGUAAAGCGCGCGUAGGCGGUUACUUAAGUCGGAUGUGAAAGCCCUCGGCUUAACUGAGGAAGUGCACCCGAAACUGAGUAGCUAGAGUACGAAAGAGGGUCGCGGAAUUCCCGGUGUAGAGGUGAAAUUCGUAGAUAUCGGGAGGAACACCGGUGGCGAAGGCGGCGACCUGGGUCGAGACUGACGCUGAGGCGCGAAAGCGUGGGGAGCAAACAGG